GGCGGAGUGGCCGAGUGGUCGAAGGCAGCGGUCUUGAAAACCGUCGGGCGUCAUGCGCCCCGGGGGUUCGAAUCCCUCCUCCGCCGCCA
rnacentral:tRNA from 1 species